rnacentral:rRNA from 1 species
GCCCUAGUAACGGCGAGUGAAGCGGCAAGAGCUCAAAUUUGAAAUCUGGCUCCUCCGGGGUCCGAGUUGUAAUUUGCAGAGGAUGCUUCGGGUGCGGUCCCCGUCUAAGUACCCUGGAAUGGGUCGUCAUAGAGGGUGAGAAUCCCGUCUGGGACGGGUGGCCGUGUCCGUGUGAAGCUCCUUCGACGAGUCGAGUUGUUUGGGAAUGCAGCUCUAAAUGGGUGGUAAAUUUCAUCUAAAGCUAAAUAUUGGCCGGAGACCGAUAGCGCACAAGUAGAGUGAUCGAAAGAUGAAAAGCACUUUGAAAAGAGAGUUAAACAGCACGUGAAAUUGUUGAAAGGGAAGCGCUUGCGACCAGACUCGCCCGCGGGGGUUCAGCCGGUACUCGUACCGGUGUACUCCCCCGUGGGCGGGCCAGCGUCGGUUUGGGCGGCCGGUCAAAGGCCUCCGGAAUGUAUCGCCCUUCGGGGCGUCUUAUAGCCGGGGGUGCAAUGCGGCCAGCCUGGACCGAGGAACGCGCUUCGGCUCGG